AGGUGGAACUGCUGGUGAUGAAGGCUCUCUCAGUAGGCUUGGUAAAGGGCAGUAUUGAUGAAGUUGAUAAGAGGGUGCACAUGACAUGGGUACAACCACGCGUGUUGGAUUUACAACAGAUCAAAGGAAUGAAAGACCGUCUGGAGUUCUGGUGCACAGAUGUGAGGAGCAUGGAGAUGUUGGUGGAGCACCAAGCUCAUGACAUCCUAACAUAGAGGACCUUGCACUACCCCUGGGGGAGUAAUUUCUACUGCUACUGAGGCUAGCAGCACUCAGACCACUGACUCUGUACUGAAUUAUAUUGAAGGGGGGUGGGUGGGCAGAGGGGAGAGCAGCUCUUUGACGCUUGUUUGGAGGAGUAAGUGGCCUUUUGGUGUGUAACCCUUUGGUGCUUGGAGUCAAGAUUUCCCUAUGCGCUAACAUUAGUGGCACCGACCACGAGAGCUCCCGUCCUGCUCUCGGAGGACAAAGGCUCCGCAGUGGUUGAUUUAUCAGUGGUGUUGUCAAACUGUUGUGGGAGGAUGUGAUGCUGGUUGCGUGUUGCAGGAGCGGAGGCUAUUUGCCGGGUAAGGGAGUAGCAGAAGUUCCUUUAUGAGAACAUGCUGGAGGGGUGCCUGACCAUUGUAUGGGACGUUACUUAGUGGUAUUGGCCUUAGGAGGGCGUGACCUUCCCCGGUAACCUCCCUCCCCCUGCCCCUGCAGCAGCACAAAGGCAGCAUUACUGAAAUCAUCUCUCUCCUUUUGCCCUCUUUCUCCACAGCCCCUCCCCCUCAUCUGCAGUAGAGGGAGUGUUUACUCCAUCAAAGGGUUUUUUCCAGGAUUACCGUUCAGUGGAUGUGUUUUUAUAUACUUUUGGGGGUGGUUGUCUUUUACGAACACUUUGUGCUAAAGUGAGAUGCAGCAGUAUUGCUGGAAUAAACUUCUCUGCCUU